AUGCCAUCAGACCUAAAAGUCUUUGAAUGAGUCGAGCAGGUUGAGAUGGGUGUUGUUGGACCUGGAGCACUAAGUCCCUGAUGCACUGGAAAUUUGUGGACCGAAGCUACACGUGUCUGCAUAGUGAGAUUGCUGCUUCCAACAAACGAGACUGACUCAGCCAAGUAUCUGGCCAUACUUCUGUUGUCAGAUAAAUUCUCAAGAAGAACUAGUCCAAUGAGGAGCAAGAGCCCAAGGACUGCAUGCAACGGCAAUUGGAAAAGAACUGAAGAAUAUGGUGCUCAGCCCACCUUUAAAUAGCAUGUGGACGGUAUGUAGGCAGGGCUUGGUUGCCUCAACGAGCUGCAGAAUGUUACUGAGGAACUACUGCUCAGGCACAUUACCCGUUCUUAUGGAUCUUGACAGAUCUUGAUCCAGAUUACAUUACUCUCCUCCUUGCUGCCUACCCAGAAAUUGAUGGGGGCACAAACUCUACUGUAUUCUAUCUCCCAGCUCAAAACAAUUUUAAUUUUUGAAUAUGUGUGUAUUUGCAUGAAACAGCAAUCCUAAGGAAAAACCAAAAUGGAGAACUGAGCUGCAAAUGGCCAAAAAGCCACAUGGAUGUGUAGCAACUUUGAUGAUUUUGGAGACUGCUGGGAAGGUAGAGAUGAAUCAGAGUAAUUUCUGGGGUUGGGUGGAGGGGCAGCUUUCCAUUUUGGGCAGCAGUGGCAUGUGCCUCCCCCAACACACACACACACACA